rnacentral:sRNA from 1 species
UUUAUUUUUUUGGGUAAAACUGUAUGACUCUGUAACUUUUAUACCGUGAGGCCAAACUUGGCAUUUGAUACCUUUUUGGAAAGCCCAAAGAGAGCCCUCCGACGAAAGAAGCAGGACAAUGGAAUUCUUCCAUUGAUUUUUUGUCGACUCCAAAUUUUUACCUUUAAGUAUUUUUUCGGACCUUUCCAUUAUCUAUGCUAUAUUACGGACCUAAAAUUACUUGUUAGAACAUUGUUUUCGAAUAUUUUUCAUGUACAAAUCUCGUUAAG